UACGUAGGGGGCGAGCGUUGUCCGGAUUUAUUGGGCGUAAAGGGCUCGUAGGCGGUUUGUCGCGUCGGGAGUGAAAACCCAGGGCUUAACUCUGGGCUUGCUUUCGAUACGGGCAGACUAGAGGUAUGCAGGGGAGAACGGAAUUCCUGGUGUAGCGGUGAAAUGCGCAGAUAUCAGGAGGAACACCGGUGGCGAAGGCGGUUCUCUGGGCAUUACCUGACGCUGAGGAGCGAAAGUGUGGGGAGCGAACAGG
rnacentral:rRNA from 1 species